rnacentral:lncRNA from 1 species
AAGAGAAAGGAAGAAGAAACAAAAAAAUUUAAACUUAACUUUUUACCAAAAAAAAAAAUUUAAACUUCACUCUAAAACGAAGUCGUCUUGAGUUAUUUUUUUUCCCACAAACCCAUUUUUAAACGACGUCGUUCUCUAUCCUCUUUGCUGGCACAACAGUUCAGUCAUCAUUCAUAACAAAGAAAGAUAACACUAUUUGCAUCAAUGUAUGAAUUAACAACAUUUUUAUACUUCAGGUAUGCAUAUUUCAUGAAACAGUACUGCAUGUAUGUAAACGUACGGUUCUUA